GUAAGAUGGAGACAAAGUUUUAAAGCCAGCUUUCUAGUCAUCUCAAAUCCAGACAGUUGGCAAUUAGCUGUCAGUUGAAUCAAAUUGGCAAGGGUGAGAGUCAGUCAGGACUUGAACUCGGAACACUUGGGCAGGUUUGUCCAAAACCACUGUCAGAUGGCUGCCGACUUCCACCUCCUUGCUAGAAAAAACUGAGUAUCCAUGAUAUUAUGAGCUACUAUCAGGUUACAAAUUGUCAGUUACAAAAAAACACUACCUUUUGAAAAGUAUCGUGGGAGAGAU